rnacentral:rRNA from 1 species
UGCCAGCGGCCGCGGUAAUACGUAGAGUGCAAGCGUUGUCCGGAAUUAUUGGGCGUAAAGGGUACGCAGGCGGAUAAUCAAGUCAAGCGUGAAAGGUGUCGGCUUAACCGACAGACUGCGUUUGAAACUGAUUAUCUUGAGUGUAACAGAGGAGUGUGGAAUUCCUAGUGUAGUGGUGAAAUACGUAGAUAUUAGGAAGAACACCAGUGGCGAAGGCGACUCUCUGGGUUAACACUGACGCUGAGGUACGAAAGCUGGGGGAGCGAACGGGAUUAGAUACCCCUGUAGUCC